AACGAACGCUGGCGGCAUGCCUAACACAUGCAAGUCGAACGGGAUCCAGGCUUCGGCCUGGUGAGAGUGGCGGACGGGUGAGUAACGCGUGGGAACCUGCCCAAUGGUCUGGGAUAACCGCGGGAAACUGCGGCUAAUACCGGAUAAGCCCGAGAGGGGAAAGAUUUAUCGCCGAUGGAGGGGCCCGCGUCAGAUUAGGUAGUUGGUGGGUAAUGGCCUACCAAGCCUACGAUCUGUAGCUGGUCUGAGAGGAUGAUCAGCCACACUGGGACUGAGAUACGGCCCAGACUCCUACGGGAGGCAGCAGUGGGGAAUAUUGGACAAUGGGGCAACCCUGAUCCAGCAAUGCCGCGUGAGUGAUGAA
rnacentral:rRNA from 1 species